CGCGUCGAAUCGGUUGGAUUAAAGACAACAAAAUCCCCGCGACCGAACUUGUCGGAAACACCGGGAUCGGGAAGAAGAAACGGGACCGGGGACACAAUAAUAUAAUAGGUAACGCACGAUAAACAAAUGAAAUAAAAACGUCUCACUCGGUGUCGUAUAAAUUCAAUGUCGCGAAAUUAUCUAUACCUAUUACCCUCAUUUCGUUCGCUUAUCUCACCGUUCUCCGAUUUGCUCGUAGCAAUUGGCUCAGAAAUAUUGCCAAACGUGAAUUUUACCAUCGUCCUCAAAUGUCACACGGUCGCGCCAUCAUGGUGAAUAACGACAGUCUUCGGGCCGGAGGUAAUGAAUUGGUCUCUUCAUCCCUCAUCGUGUCCCGCGAAUU